CAUUAUAGUUACAAAGGUUACUCAGCAUGAAAAAAAUGGAUUAGUUAUGUGGCAUGAGGCUUUUUAGUAUUGCAAUAUUUACAUUUUUGGUAAAGAAUAUAAGCUGGUUUGGGCAGGGUUCACUUCACCUACUGUUCCUGUAUGUCAUACUUGUUUUGUUCCAAAUAAUUGUUUGUUUUGCUUACCUAUUGUACAGCACUAUAUGUUGGCACUGUAUUUAUAAUUGUGAUUGUAAAUUAAUUCCAUUCAUUCAAAUUAUUUGACCUUUUGUCGGCAGGGAUAACACGCAGUUUUUCAGAAAUGUUAUAACACAUACAAAGUACAGAAAAGGAAUUUAAUCCGUUGUUAUUCUGGAACUCUUUGUACACACUAUGAACACAUUUCAUUUAACCCCUUCAGGACGGAGUCAAUAGUACACGUUCUGAAGAAUACAAAAUGUAAACAAAACCUGGAAUUUGCGAUAUAUGUCUGUUCAACCGUUAUUCACCUCUUUCAUAUUAAAUGCAC